AGAACGAACGCUGGCGGCAUGCCUAAUACAUGCAAGUCGAACGAAGGCUUCGGCCUUAGUGGCGCACGGGUGCGUAACGCGUGGGAAUCUGCCCCUUGGUUCGGAAUAACAGUUGGAAACGACUGCUAAUACCGGAUGAUGACGAAAGUCCAAAGAUUUAUCGCCAAGGGAUGAGCCCGCGUAGGAUUAGCUAGUUGGUGAGGUAAAGGCUCACCAAGGCGACGAU
rnacentral:rRNA from 1 species